rnacentral:ncRNA from 1 species
UAUAUUUGCCGCGCUAAUUAAAAAUUAAUUAGCUACAUAAUAAUCAUUUAUAACAAUAUUGGCAUG